rnacentral:rRNA from 1 species
CAUGGAGGGUGAGAAUCCCGUCCGGUUGAUCAUUGCGUUUUACGAUACGCUUUCUAAGAGUCAAGUUGUUUGGGAUUGCAGCUUAAAAUGGGAGGUAAAUUUCUCCUAAGGCUAAAUAACGGCGAGAGACCGAUAGCGAACAAGUACCGUGAGGGAAAGAUGAAAAGAACUUCGAAAAGAGAGUUAAACAGUACGUGAAAUUGUUGAAAGGGAAACGAUUGAAGCCAGUCGUACCUGUGGGUAAUCAGCCUUUUGGGUGUGAUUUUGUGGAGUGUGAAGAGUCAAACGCCUUCAUGCCUGCAUAUUCGUGCACUUUGGGUGUAUUUACCCGUGUGGUAAGUUAACAUCAAUUUCGGUGGUCAUAAAAUGGCUGGAGGAAUGUAGCUUCGAUCUUGUAUUGAAGUGUUAUAGCCUUCGGCAGAUGUGAUGAUCGGGAUUGAGGAUUGCAACGGAUACCCUUCGAGGCUACCUGCCUGAUCUCUGAUCGUUGCUCUGGUGCCGAAAGCUUGCUUACGGUUAUCAAAGUCGAUGGUCAAUAGGUUAGAACGGGUUAAAUUCGUUAAGGAUGUUGACGUAAUGG